rnacentral:pre_miRNA from 1 species
GUGCCUACUGAACUGAAAGGCAGUCACUAUGCUAAAACUGGCUCAGUUCAGCAGGAACAG